AUUGAACGCUGGCGGCAUGCUUUACACAUGCAAGUCGAACGGCAGCGGGGUAGUGCUUGCACUACUGCCGGCGAGUGGCGAACGGGUGAGUAAUAUAUCGGAACGUACCGAGUAAUGGGGGAUAACCAAUCGAAAGAUUGGCUAAUACCGCAUACGUCCUGAGGGAGAAAGCGGGGGAUCGCAAGACCUCGCGUUAUUCGAGCGGCCGAUAACUGAUUAGCUAGUUGGUGGGGUAAAGGCCUACCAAGGCGACGAUCAGUAGCGGGUCUGAGAGGACGAUCCGCCACACUGGGACUGAGACACAGCCCAGACUCCUACGGGAGGCAGCAGUGGGGAAUUUUGGACAAUGGGGGCAACCCUGAUCCAGCCAUGCCGCGUGUAUGAAGAAGGCCUUCGGGUUGUAAAGUACUUUUGUUAGGGAAGAAAAGGGAAGUGCUAAUACCACUUUUUGCUGACGGUACCUAAAGAAUAAGCACCGGCUAACUACGUG
rnacentral:rRNA from 1 species